UCUCGACAGCGUAAAAGUUAACUCGAAUUUGUAUGGAGUUGGAACGUUUGCCUAAGUGUACCGCUAAGGGCGCUGUUCCAACUGCAUACAAAUCUUAGUUAGCUUUUACGCUAUCAA
rnacentral:pre_miRNA from 9 species